UAACCUUGUAUCAUUAAUCUUAAAAUGAAGCCCGACAAAAAUGGAAAUGUUGACGAGGAUUGUGCUUUUCUGGAACAAGUUUUGGAUUCUUUAUACGAUUUCGGAAGUGGAGCUGGGAAAAGAAAAAAGAAGAAAAAG